rnacentral:rRNA from 1 species
AAUACAUGCAAGUCGAACGCUUUUUCUUUCACCGGAGCUUGCCCCACCGAAAGAAAGAGUGGCGAACGGGUGAGUAACACGUGGGUAACCUGCCCAUCAGAAGGGGAUAACACUUGGAAACAGGUGCUAAUACCGUAUAACACUAUUUUCCGCAUGGAAGAAAGUUGAAAGGCGCUUUUGCGUCACUGAUGGAUGGACCCGCGGUGCAUUAGCUAGUUGGUGAGGUAACGGCUCACCAAGGCCACGAUGCAUAGCCGACCUGAGAGGGUGAUCGGCCACACUGGGACUGAGACACGGCCCAGACUCCUACGGGAGGCAGCAGUAGGGAAUCUUCGGCAAUGGACGAAAGUCUGACCGAGCAACGCCGCGUGAGUGAAGAAGGUUUUCGGAUCGUAAAACUCUGUUGUUAGAGAAGAACAAGGAUGAGAGUAGAACGUUCAUCCCUUGACGGUAUCUAACCAGAAAGCCACGGCUAACUACGUGCCAGCAGCCGCGGUAAUACGUAGGUGGCAAGCGUUGUCCGGAUUUAUUGGGCGUAAAGCGAGCGCAGGCGGUUUCUUAAGUCUGAUGUGAAAGCCCCCGGCUCAACCGGGGAGGGUCAUUGGAAACUGGGAGACUUGAGUGCAGAAGGGGAGAGUGGAAUUCCAUGUGUAGCGGUGAAAUGCGUAGAUAUAUGGAGGAACACCAGUGGCGAAGGCGGCUCUCUGGUCUGUAACUGACGCUGAGGCUCGAAAGCGUGGGGAGCGAACAGGAUUAGAUACCCUGGUAGUCCACGCCGUAAACGAUGAGUGCUAAGUGUUGGAGGGUUUCCGCCCUUCAGUGCUGCAGCAAACGCAUUAAGCA